rnacentral:piRNA from 1 species
CAUUUAGGUAUGCCUUGUCCAG